rnacentral:rRNA from 1 species
CACGUAGGGUGCGAGCGUUGUCCGGAAUUAUUGGGCGUAAAGAGCUCGUAGGCGGUGUGUCGCGUCGGCCGUGAAAACCUGCAGCUUAACUGUGGGCGUGCGGUCGAUACGGGCAUCACUGGAGUUCGGCAGGGGAGACUGGAAUUCCUGGUGUAGCGGUGAAAUGCGCAGAUAUCGGGAAGAACACCCGUGGCGAAGGCGGCUCUCUGGAACGCAACUGACGCUGAGACGCGAAAGCGUGGGGAGCAAACAGG